AGGGGUGUAGCUUAGUGGUAGAGUGCAUGCCUAGCAUGCACAAGGUCCUGGGUUCAAUGCCUAGUACCUCAA
rnacentral:tRNA from 1 species